AUGGUAAUGAAGGUGCAUGCAACUCCAACCGACAGCGGGUCAAAUUUGGAGGUAGACGGUUCAGAUGAUUGGUUGCACAGUAAUCCAACUUACAUACGGCGAGCGAUGUUGGCGAAACAUGUCGAAGAUAGCUCUGUUCCUAUAAGUUUUAUCUCCGGACGCUCCAUUGAACCAUUAGAUGCAUACCAUGAGAAGGACCGCCUUCGUAAAAGGAAAAAAAUACUCAGAAAUGGAAAUGCAAUAGAGAGAGUCCUUGUUGUGUCGGAGUCGUGCGUACAAGAUGGUGAAACCAAAUCCAGCAUGUGA
rnacentral:rRNA from 1 species